rnacentral:siRNA from 1 species
UCAAAGACUCGAUGGUUCACG